rnacentral:rRNA from 1 species
UGGGGAAUCUUGCACAAUGGGGGCAACCCUGAUGCAGCGACGCCGCGUGAGCGAUGAAGCCCUUCGGGGCGUAAAGCUCUUUCGACCGGAACGAUAAUGACGGUACCGGGAGAAGAAGCUGCGGCUAACUACGUGCCAGCAGCCGCGGUAAUACGUAGGCAGCAAGCGUUGUUCGGAGUUACUGGGCGUAAAGAGUGCGUAGGCGGUUUUCUAAGUUCGGUGUGAAAUCUUCCGGCUUAACUGGGAGGGUGCGCCGAAGACUGGGAAGCUGGAGUGUGGGAAAGGCAGGCGGAAUUCCUGGUGUAGCGGUGAAAUGCGUAGAUAUCAGGAGGAACACCGGCGGUGUAGACGGCUUGCUAGACCAUAACUGACGCGGAGGCACGAAAGCGUGGGUAGCAAACA